GCCACCUUAGCUCAGUUGGUCAGAGCACGUGAUUUGUAAUCUCGGGGUCGUCAGUUCGAAUCUGACAGGUGGCU
rnacentral:tRNA from 1 species